rnacentral:rRNA from 1 species
GACGGGGUGAGUAAUGCUUGGGAACAUGCCUUGAGGUGGGGGCACCAGUUGGAAACGCCUGCUUAAUACCGCAUAAUGUCUACGGACCAAAGGGGGCUUCGGCUCUCGCCUUUAGAUUGGCCCAAGUGGGAUUAGCUAGUUGGUGAGGUAAUGGCUCACCAAGGCGACGAUCCCUAGCUGGUUUGAGAGGAUGAUCAGCCACACUGGGACUGAGACACGGCCCAGACUCCUACGGGAGGCAGCAGUGGGGAAUAUUGCACAAUGGGCGCAAGCCUGAUGCAGCCAUGCCGCGUGUGUGAAGAAGGCCUUCGGGUUGUAAAGCACUUUCAGUCAGGAGGAAAGGUUAGUAGUUAAUACCUGCUAGCUGUGACGUUACUGACAGAAGAAGCACCGGCUAACUCCGUGCCAGCAGCCGCGGUAAUACGGAGGGUGCGAGCGUUAAUCGGAAUUACUGGGCGUAAAGCGUACGCAGGCGGUUUGUUAAGCGAGAUGUGAAAGCCCCGGGCUCAACCUGGGAACUGCAUUUCGAACUGGCAAACUAGAGUGUGAUAGAGGGUGGUAGAAUUUCAGGUGUAGCGGUGAAAUGCGUAGAGAUCUGAAGGAAUACCGAUGGCGAAGGCAGCCACCUGGGUCAACACUGACGCUCAUGU